rnacentral:misc_RNA from 1 species
GUUUUGUCAAAUUGGGGAUCAAACAUGUAGCAUUCCGUUUGAAUUGUAUGAUCUUUCGGGGUUGGGGGAUGUGUUGUCAUUGGAUGUUUGGAAUGAGGUGUUGUCUGAGGAAGAAAGGUUUAGUCUUGCUCAGUACCUUCCUGACAUGGACCAGGAAACGUUUAUGCGAACUUUGAAAGACCUCCUCACCGGUAAUAAUAUGCAUUUUGGAAGUCCCCUGGAUAAGCU